CACGGGGCGGUGGGAGGGGCCGGUGUCCGGGGAGACGCGUCAGCCGCCGCCGUCGUCGUCGUCGCAGGGUCCCUCCCCUCCAGCGGCCCGAGCCCCGCGGGGAGCGGCGCCGGGCGGCGCGGCGGGGAUGAGGCGGCCGCCUCGCACCCACCGUAGCGGCGCGGCCGCCUUCGCCAUGAAGCGGAAGAGCUGGGCCGAGGCUCGGCGCCGCGCAGCCCCCGCGCCCCCGGCGCUGAAGAGAACUCGGGGCACGGUGUCGCGGGCGGCGGGGGUCGAGGCGGAGCGGCAGCAGCCGCCCCCCGCCGGGCCGGAGAUCUGCCUGAGGAUCGCUGAUCGCCUUUAUUUUGCAAUUCGCUGCCAAAAACCAAAGAGUGGAGCUGCAAAUACUCAUUAUUUCUGCAUAGAUGAUGAACUCGUGUAUGAGAACUUCUAUGCAGACUUUGGACCACUCAGUCUGGCAAUGGUCUACAGAUACUGUUGCAAGCUUAAUAAGAAAUUACAGUCAUUUUCAUUGAUAAAGAAGAAAAUAAUUCAUUAUACUGGCUUCGAUCAGAAAAAACAAGCAAAUGCUGCAUUCCUCGUAGGCUCCUACGCAAUAAUAUACCUGAGACAAUCCCCAGAAGAUGUAUACAGGCUAAUAUUGGCUGGAAGCAUUUCAUAUCUUCCUUUCAGGGAUGCUUCCUUUGGUACUUGCAGUUUUCAUCUGACGUUGCUGGACUGUUUUCAUGCAAUAAACAAGGCUUUGCAGUAUGGUUUCCUGGAUUUCAAUACAUUUGAUGUAAAUGAAUAUGAGCAUUAUGAAAGAGCAGAAAAUGGAGAUUUUAACUGGAUAAUACCAAACAAAUUCAUUGCCUUCAGUGGACCUCAUUCAAGAAGUAAAAUUGAAAAUGACUAUCCCCACCAUGCUCCAGAGGCUUAUUUUCCAUACUUCAGGAAACACAAGGUCACCACUAUAAUACGCCUCAACAGAAAGCUAUAUGAUGCCAAACGAUUUACAGAUGCUGGAUUUGAGCAUUUUGACCUCUUCUUUGCUGAUGGAAGCACACCUAGUGAUACUAUAGUUAAAACAUUUCUAAAUAUUUGUGAAAAUGCUGAAGGUGUUAUAGCCGUUCAUUGCAAAGCUGGUCUUGGACGAACCGGCACACUUAUUGCCUGUUACAUUAUGAAGCAUUAUCGGAUGACAGCUGCUGAAGCUAUUGCCUGGAUUAGAAUAAAUAGACCUGGUUCGGUCAUUGGACCGCAACAACACUUCCUGUUGGACAAACAGGCAGAUCUUUGGACAGAAGGAGAUAUAUUCCGUGCAAAGUUGAAAGGAAACCGUAAAAUUGCUGUAACAAGAAUUCUGUCAGGAGUAGAUGAUAUUUCAAUUAAUGACACAAGAAACAGGAGAACCAUCAGAAAGGACAUUGAACUGUACAGUGAUGAAGAUGAAGCAAACUGUGUAACGCAAGGUGACAGGCUUCGUGCUCUGAAAAGCAGAAGGCAGGCAAAAGCUCCAACUUCAUCCCCACUAACAUGGCUCCUAGCUAUGCUGGUGUCUACACUGUGUAGCAUUGUCAUCUGGUGGAUUGUAUGUGGCUCCCUUCUGCCCAGCCUGCUAUUCUGUCUAGAUGGUUUAAGAACAUAGUAACCAUCAGGACCCCCUGAGAGAGCCACUGUAGUAAUUCUGCAGUCCAGUGUUCAGAAAAAUAAAACUUCUGAACCUAGCAUUUCUGACAGUACAGACAUUACUAAAAGAACUACCAGGUCUGCUGCAAGAAAAAACAGUUUACAAAGCAGCCAAUCCAUCUCACGGACUAGAACAGUAUUGCGUUAAAUUUCAAAUAAGCAACCAGUGUUGAAGAGGAUAUUCAGGAGUGAAGGGGAUGUGACUAAAGAGGACUUGAUGCAAUGCAAGGAAGAUAACCUUGGCUCUGUUUUUCAGCAAAAGCAAAACAGGAGAAUCUCUUCCAUACUUGUAGAAUAAAAUGAACUGUCACCAUGCUUGGUACGCACUUUCCUUAUGUGCUAACACUUCCUCAAACAAAAUCAACAAAAUCUGUGUACAUUCAGACUCAGGUGUAAAUACUUAAGCUCUCCAUUAUAAAGAGGGCUUGCUAGUAUGUAUGAUGCAUGUGUAUAAAUUGUGAUGGCAAUCACUUCGCUGCUUACCACCAGAAAUGACCAGACAGUGGGAGCUUUUAAGGAUAUUAAUCUGUGUUGUCCAUUCAGACUGGGCUCAAGUCUCCACUUGAGACUGAAAAUCAGCCACAAAAGCUUUUUUCUUAUAGUAUUGGUACUCUCCUGUGUUAACUGGCUAUUCUAUUCUUUCUUAUUUUGUAUGAAGUUUUUUAUGAAGCCGCAGUAUUGAGUACACAAAGUAACUAUUGUCCACCAAAGAGUGCUUUAUUUUCAAAGGUUGUGUGGUUUAUUUUGAAAAAAACCUAAGCAAUUAACUUGUUUUUAAUAGUAAUAAUUUUUAGUUAUUCACAACCAAUGGCUAUUUUAACUAGUUGUAAUUGCUUUAAAUCUGGUACGAUUUUAAGGAGAAGGAAAAACAGCUUACCAUUUAAAGCAGUGCUGUCAUAUUGAAAUAUCAUUACUGUUUCUUUUCCUAUCUUCAAGUCUUUUGGGUGAAACUUUAGAUUACCAUAUCUCAAAGGUAAGAAUUUUUCCUGGGUUUUAUUGGUACACUUGAUAAUAUACGGAUGUCACUGUUUUUUAGCUUUGAGACACUUAAUGAGUACAGCAACAAAAAGGGGAAAAUGAGCUUGCUGCACAACUGAGAUGAGUAGUGGAACUCAGGGGCAGGUAUAGUUUUUAACAUCAAACUAACACUUAAAAACCUGUGGUAAAAAGCAGUGUAAUUUUUCAAGGAAUCCACCUGAGACUGAAAUCUGCAUCCACUACAAGACCGUCUUCAAACACUGGCAGCUUUUUUUUUCCCCUGCCACUUUUCACAUUGUGAAAUCUCAAAGCUGGCUUUGCAGUGGUGUACCCUUGUCUGCCAAAUCAAGUGUAUAGCUGCAUAUCCCUCAGACGAGGACUGUUACCACAUCGCCUUAAUCAUGAAACACUUAUCAGCUUAUUUAGUGAUUCUUCCAGUAGAAAGUAAAAGAAGCUGAGAGCUGAAAUGUUAGUGAUGGAAUAACUCAAGUUUUUAAGGGGAUACAGAUUACCUCUACAAGGGGGAUAAUUUUCUUUUCAUUAAUGUAAAUGGACAGGUUCAGUGACUAAUUGCAGUCUACAUGGUUAAAUAAAAACUGAGCUUUCUGCUAGGGUGGUGAUCUGUGAACACCAACAUGAAUUGGUACAUCGGCUUGAAAACACUUUGUGGCAAGAGCAUCAUGAGUCGGAGGGGAAGCGGGAUGUGAAGUGUAGGCAAGCUUACAGGUGGCAUCCAUGAGUUUGGGUAGUCAAAAUUUGCAAAUAUACGCAUACAAAGCCAGAAGAGGCUUGUAUGGUGCAAAAUAAAGGACCAUUGAGGCUCAGACUCCAGAUAUUUUUUCUUCCUCUCUUAAUCUUCACCCUCACCAUGUUCUUCUAGAUGAAAAGCACCUAAAAGAGAAAGACUGAAUUCACCCCAAUACAGUGCUUGAAACUUGUCUUUUUUUUUUAUGUAAGCCACUUGCUCAAAAGCUGAAGUACAGGUAACUACAACAGUACGUAUAUUGUGCAAAUAUGAAUCUGUGUGAAUUUUCAAAGAAAAUUCUUACUUUAGAAGGCAAAAGGGAUGAACCUAGUGAGGUGAGAGGGUGAGAGUCAAAACAAGAAAGAUUUAGUAAUAUUUACCGUGUUUGGCUUUGCUUUUCUCUCAGCUGAGCUUCCUCUUUUAGAACCUUUGUUUUUAACCUAAAAGUAAUCAUUCUAUUUCACACCCCUUCCAAACUCCAAACUGGAAUUUGCCAUUUUUAAAGUAACCAGCAGAGCCAUUAGCAUUUUCAGGUUCAUCAGAAGUAAAUUUGCAUAAAACAAAUGCACAAAUACACAGAAUAGCAACUCCAGCUACAGUAAAACUGCGUGUUUGGCAUUAAUGUGUUUCAGGAUGCCACUUCCACCACCCAGCGUCUUACAGAGAAACACACAAAUGUCAAACGGAUUUUACAUUCAAGCUCUCAAAACACCCUUAUAUGUAAAAUUACCUCAUUUUAUCCCAUCUAAUCGUAUGGCUUAGUUUGUUCUUCUGAAUGUUCAGUAUUUUGGCUAGCAUUUUUGAUAUACCAUACCAAAGCUGUCCUAAGUACAAAAUGAAGAGUGGGCAUGGGUGAGGGAGUCCUUGGUUUCUAAAUCUUUUUUGAAUUGUGAAGUAUUAAGUGCCAAAAUGGAACAUGUGGCAUCAGCUGCAUCACCGUUGUACCACAGAGCAGCUGGACAAAGUUAUUUCUGCUGUCAUCAAUAAGUAGUUUUCCCUUUGAAAUUCUUUUCCCUCUUUCAAAUACAUGGCAGAUGGAUUCUCCCUUGAUCUCUUAUUCAAAAGUAUGCAAGACACUCCAAAGCUGUAAUGUGUUGGGUCAAACUGCUAACUUCCAUUACAGCAUCAGUAACAUAACUCAGAUGUUAACCCAGACCUUGUGGUUUUGCCCCAGUAUGACAACAGGGGAAGUGCUGCUGAUUUGAAAGAAUAUAUUUGUAGAGACUCAUGCAUUAAAACUGAAAAAAAAAAAAGAAAAAUGUGAUGUUCACCAGUUUGUUGCACUGCAGUUUUUAUAUUAAUGGUUUGCAGACUGUUUGUCUUGUGUAAACUCAUGUACAGACUACCAAGAUCUAAAAUUCCUUGACUAAUCAGUACUGUUCAUCCUGAUUAUUUUUAAAUUGUAUAUUUCUAAUCAUAUUUUUUUAACUUGGAUUGACAGAAUGGGAGUUUAUUUUGCUGAAGGUAUUUUUAAGAUAAAGCUUCAUAUUAUCUUGUAAUAUUAAGUAGUUCAAUAUGCAUUUGUGUCUCAUUUGAAAAUACUGCAUAUUGUAUUUGAUUUUAUACAAAAUAUUGAUUAGUGAGAAUUGUAAACAUGAAUUGUGUAAAAUUAAAAAUAAUAAUCAGAA